rnacentral:lncRNA from 1 species
CCCAGCCAGGCCUGACCUUGAGCGGCAGCCUGGCUAGGUCCACCAGGCUGCAUCUGGAAUGCUGGAGAAAUCCCUGAAUUUCCUGGGUUGGCCUGGAAGGAAUCAGGUUACCUUCUGAUCCGCAGACAGAGGGGCUCCCCCAGUAAGCAGAGCAGGGCCAGGGGCUGACUGGGGGGCCCCAGCAGACCUGUGGGCGGCAUAUGAGGGGAAGGCCGAGAAGGGCCUGACAGCUCCGGGGGAUCUACCCAAGACCGGAGGCUGGGGGAAGAGGGGAGGCCUAGAGAAGGGACUGGUGGGGCUGGCCGCCGCCAGGACGCCGGGCCGGGGCGGAGCGAGACUUGAGAGAAACGCGGGAGGCAAGAGGCGGAGAGCCAGGCCCCCGGUCUCGGUGGCUGGGGUGGGUGGGUGCACCUCGACCCGCAGGGGCAGAUCCAGGCCCGGCGGGAGCAGGUCCAGGCGCCAAUGAAGGCGCCCACCCCUGCUGGGCCCCAGAAGAGGUUCGCG